AUUAGAUGCCUUUUCUUUAGUGUGUUGUCAUAAUCUGUAGAACUGCAUCGUUCGCACAUAACGGGAUACAGAUUGCAAUACAGCUGUCGUGACUUGGAUUACUGAUUUUAGACCUCUUCAUUGGACAAAGUUUGUCAGGAUUCAAUGUCGCCAAAGAUCAAUCUGUCCUUUUUUGCGGGUACUCUGAGGAUGGAAGGGCCAGUUAGGAGGCUGAGCAAAGCCAUUGCUAAAGAUAGCAAAGAAAUGCAUCUCACUCCCAGUGACAUUACUGUGAAGAUGCAGAAGAGGAACACCAAAUUCCAAGACUUGCUGCAGGCAUGA
rnacentral:lncRNA from 1 species